ACUCCAGAUCCUUAACCCACUAAGAAAGGCCAAGGAUCAAACCCGCAACCUCAUGGUUCCUAGUCGGAUUUGUUAACCACUGAACCACUACGGGAACUCCAGGACACUUUCUUUUCAAAUUUUUUUUCUUUUUUUCUUUUUUCUUUUGCCUCCCCUGCAGCAUUUGGAAGUUUCCGGGCCAGGGAUCAAAUCUGAGCUGACUGCACCAGGGUGGGAUCUAACAGGUGCCUCCACAGCGACAAGCUAGAUCAUUAGCCCACUGAGCCACAGUAGGAACUCCCUAUUUUGGACACUUUCAAAGUAGUCAAACCAAUCUUCUAAUUUCUAUAAUAACAUCUUUGGAAUCAAGGUAAUUUUUGUUAAAUCUUUUUUUUUUUCUUUCUGUGGAUUUAUGCUCAGAUGGUUUCAAAUGAACAACUCUGAGGGCUUGAAGAUACACAAGGCAACAUCCUUUACCUUGUUCUGGGAUCCAAAGCAGGAUCCAGAAUCACACUUAAUCUUGAGCUUCUCAGAUCCUUCUGGGCCAAAUUUAGAGCACAGGCCAUUCACAGACCAUUCUCCAGUCCAUCUGAGGUUAAGAACAUUGAAAUGAGAGCCUCAAAGUGCCAGUUCCAGGACUGGAUCAGUCAUUAAUGAAAAGCUAGGCCUGUCCAGUGGAUGGUUGUGGGGAUCAAACUUGAAAGCACUCUGCAAAUGAUGGAGAACUCUCCUUUAGUGAGAUCAUUUAUUCAUUCAUCAAUCACCCAGAAAACCUUUCUUGAGUGCCAGCCACAUCUGAGACACUGGGUUAGGCACAGGCCCACAUAGCUCAUGCUUCUCAGACCUAGCAGGUCUGGUCUUGCAAAGCCGACCAUUAAGUAUUUAUCAAAUACCUACCAGGGCCUAUGACACUAAUGAUGGGCUUACCAUCAGAGUGUAUGCCAUGAAUAUUCCAUUUUGGGCCAGAGAGAGUUAACGUGCUGUCUCUGCCUCCCUGAUGCCUGGAGAGCCCACAUCACUCAGUGAAGACUACGGAUGCAUUAGGCUCAAUGUAUGUAUUUUCUUUUCCUCUCUGUUUAUGUCUCUGUUUUCUGUAAAGUCUCCUAAACUGCAGCAGUAUCUACCAAGUUCU
ensembl:lncRNA